rnacentral:tRNA from 1 species
GUCCCAGUGGCUUAAUGGUUUACGAGUUCGCCUUGUAACCAGAAGGCCCUGGGUUCAAACCCCAGCAGGUACA